GAGGGGCAGCAUGAACUUAGCUUGCUAAGUUUGAUGGCGACCGGCGCACGGGUGAGUAACACGUAUCCAACCUGCCGAUGACUCGGGGAUAGCCUUUCGAAAGAAAGAUUAAUACCCGAUGGCAUAGUUCUUCCGCAUGGUGGAACUAUUAAAGAAUUUCGGUCAUCGAUGGGGAUGCGUUCCAUUAGGUUGUUGGCGGGGUAACGGCCCACCAAGCCUUCGAUGGAUAGGGGUUCUGAGAGGAAGGUCCCCCACAUUGGAACUGAGACACGGUCCAAACUCCUACGGGAGGCAGCAGUGAGGAAUAUUGGUCAAUGGACGCAAGUCUGAACCAGCCAAGUAGCGUGAAGGAUGAAGGCUCUAUGGGUCGUAAACUUCUUUUAUAUGGGAAUAAAGUUUUCCACGUGUGGAAUUUUGUAUGUACCAUAUGAAUAAGGAUCGGCUAACUCCGUGCCAGCAGCCGCGGUAAUACGGAGGAUCCGAGCGUUAUCCGGAUUUAUUGGGUUUAAAGGGAGCGUAGGUGGAUUGUUAAGUCAGUUGUGAAAGUUUGCGGCUCAACCGUAAAAUUGCAGUUGAAACUGGGAGUCUUGAGUACAGUAGAGGUGGGCGGAAUUCGUGGUGUAGCGGUGAAAUGCUUAGAUAUUAGGAGGAACACCAGUGGCGAAGG
rnacentral:rRNA from 1 species